rnacentral:tRNA from 1 species
GGAGAAGUACUCAAGAGGCUUAAGAGGUGUUCCUGCUAAGAACAUAGGUCGAGCGAUCGACGCGAGGGUUCGAAUCCCUCCUUCUCCG